UGCAGUCGACGGUGAAGCAGAGCUUGCUCUGUGGAUCAGUGGCGAACGGGUGAGUAACACGUGAGCAAUCUGCCCCUGACUCUGGGAUAAGCGCUGGAAACGGCGUCUAAUACCGGAUACGAGCUGCGACCGCAUGGUCAGUAGCUGGAAAGAAUUUCGGUCAGGGAUGAGCUCGCGGCCUAUCAGCUUGUUGGUGAGGUAAUGGCUCACCAAGGCGUCGACGGGUAGCCGGCCUGAGAGGGUGACCGGCCACACUGGGACUGAGACACGGCCCAGACUCCUACGGGAGGCAGCAGUGGGGAAUAUUGCACAAUGGGCGAAAGCCUGAUGCAGCAACGCCGCGUGAGGGAUGACGGCCUUCGGGUUGUAAACCUCUUUUAGCAGGGAAGAAGCGAAAGUGACGGUACCUGCAGAAAAAGCGCCGGCUAACUACGUGCCAGCAGCCGCGGUAAUACGUAGGGCGCAAGCGUUAUCCGGAAUUAUUGGGCGUAAAGAGCUCGUAGGCGGUCUGUCGCGUCUGCUGUGAAAACCCGAGGCUCAACCUCGGGCCUGCAGUGGGUACGGGCAGACUAGAGUGCGGUAGGGGAGAUUGGAAUUCCUGGUGUAGCGGUGGAAUGCGCAGAUAUCAGGAGGAACACCGAUGGCGAAGGCAAGAUCUCUGGGCCCGUAACUGACGCUGAGGAGCGAAAAGGGUGGGGAGCAAACAGGCUUAGAUACCCUGGUAGUCCACCCCGUAAACGUUGGGAACUAGUUGUGGGGUCCAUUCCACGGAUUCCGUGACGCAGCUAACGCAUUAAGUUCCCCGCCUGGGGAGUACGGCCGCAAGGCUAAAACUCAAAGGAAUUGACGGGGACCCGCACAAGCGGCGGAGCAUGCGGAUUAAUUCGAUGCAACGCGAAGAACCUUACCAAGGCUUGACAUAUAGAGGAAACGUCUGGAAACAGUCGCCCCGCAAGGUCUCUAUACAGGUGGUGCAUGGUUGUCGUCAGCUCGUGUCGUGAGAUGUUGGGUUAAGUCCCGCAACGAGCGCAACCCUCGUUCUAUGUUGCCAGCACGUAAUGGUGGGAACUCAUGGGAUACUGCCGGGGUCAACUCGGAGGAAGGUGGGGAUGACGUCAAAUCAUCAUGCCCCUUAUGUCUUGGGCUUCACGCAUGCUACAAUGGCCGGUACAAAGGGCUGCAAUACCGUGAGGUGGAGCGAAUCCCAAAAAGCCGGUCCCAGUUCGGAUUGAGGUCUGCAACUCGACCUCAUGAAGUCGGAGUCGCUAGUAAUCGCAGAUCAGCAACGCUGCGGUGAAUACGUUCCCGGGUCUUGUACACACCGCCCGUCAAGUCAUGAAAGUCGGUAACACCUGAAGCC
rnacentral:rRNA from 1 species